CAUUCCGGUUCAUAUGUAGCUGCGUCGGGAGAGUGCAGCAAAAUAAAAGCUGUUUUGUAGAAAUAAGAUAGUAUUAGCUUCCUGAAAAGGCAAGUUCCUGCAGAAAGUACUUCAACUUGAUGAAUAUUGUCAGCAAUAGAUUCCAAUGCAGAAGCUGCCGAAUCUGCGCCAGAUUUUAUGUCUUAUCUCAGGAAAAGCUGCAAAGCCGUUCAGGGGAACAAACCGUUCGUGGGAAUGGUUCUUUUGAAGACCCUGACCUGGAGUUACACAUUGACUUCAGUUCUUUGUGGAAAGGGGACCCAAUCUCAGGGCCUCAUAACUGGCUGCUUUUUGAUAUGCGGCCUGGAAGACGAGCGUGCCUUCAGGGUGCCGGACUUUUCUGGCUCUGGAGAAUGGCUGAUUCAAGGCCGGUGUCCCCAACUGAAGCCUUGCGGAAGAAAAAAGAACAUCGGGAGCUAUGUGUAUAGAGCCGACUCUUGAGGCACAAAGCUUGAAAGAUGGGACGCAACAAAAUUUUAACAUCAUAAAUCAAUUCUGGCCGCCAGCUGUACGUAACCGUGCUUAAGAGUUUCGAGCCCCACUACUCAAACCAGGAAACAAAAGGCUCCUGCUCGGAUGAGAACAAAGAAUACAGGAUCUCGCCGCAGAAUCUGGAUCGCUUCCAAGGACUGAAGGGCAGUUGCAUAUUAAUUUCUCACAGGAACUGCUUCCUGUUGCAAGGUCUCGGUUCGAAAAGGCCGUCUGCUCCAGCAUUUUGAGUGUAACUGUGAGUUCUAGCAGUUGCAGAUUUUUCUCCUCGGUGAUUCAUCCCCCAGGUCGCCAAAUGUAGGCAAAAAUACUUGAUUCGAAUUUAUAACUAACUAUUGGUUGAGUUAGAAGAAGCUUACGUGAACAAUUCAGUUACUAUGGAAGUUAAACCUCGCCAUUUGACACAAAAGUACACGGAAAAAUUACGACAUAAGACGCAAAGCUUUUACCUUCUCGAGC